rnacentral:lncRNA from 1 species
CUGCUCAGAUAUGGCUGAGGAUAGGUAAAGUAGAGACUACUGCUGCUCAGAUAAGGCUGAGGAUAGGUCAAGUAGAGACUACUGCUGCUCAGAUAAGGCUGAGGAUAGGUCAAGUAGAGACCACUGCUGUUCAGAUCGGGCUGAGGAUAGGUCAAGUAGAGACUGACUGGAAACUACUGCUGUUCAGAUAAGUCUGAGGAUAGGUCAAGUAGAGACUGACUGGAGACUACUGCUGCUCAGAUAGGGCUGAUGAUAGGACUAGUAGAGACUGACUAGACACUACUACUGUUCAGAUAGGGUUGAGGAUAGGUCAAGUGGAGACUAACUAGAGACUACUGAUGUUCAGAUAGGGCUGAGGAUAGGUCAAGUAGAGACUGACUAGACUACUGCUGCUCAGAUAGGGCUGAGGAUAGGUCAAGUAGUGACUACUGCUGCUCAGAUAGGGCUGAGGAUAUGUCAAGUAGAGACUGACUAGAGACUACUGCUGCUCAGGUAGAGCUGAGGAUAGGUCAAGUAGAGACUACUGCUGCUCAGAUAGGUCAAGUAGAGACUGACUGGAGACUACUACUGUUCAGAUAGGGUUGAGGAUAGGUCAAGUAGAGACUACUGCUGUUCAGAUAGGGCUGAGGAUAGGUCAAGUUGAGACUGACUAGAGACUACUGCUGCUCAGAUAGGGCUGAGGAUAGGUCAAGUAGAGACUACUGCUGUUCAGAUAGGGCUGAGGAUAGGUCAAGUAGAGACUGACUAUACUACUGUUCAGAUAGGGCUGAGGAUAGGUCAAUUAGAGACUGCUGCUGCUCAGGUAGGGCUGAGGAUAGGUCAAGUAGAGACUGACUGGAGACUACUGCUGUUCAGAUAGUGCUGAGGAUAGGUCAAGUAGAGACUACUGUUCAGAUUGGGCUGAGGAUUGGUCAAGUAGGGACUACUGCUGUUUAGGUAGGGCUGAGGAUAGGUCAAGUAGUGACUACUGCUGCUCACAUAGGGCUGAGGAUGGAUCAAGUAGAGACUACUGCUCAGAUAGGGCUGAGGAUAGGUCAAGUAGAAACUGACUAGACUACUGCUGCUCAGAGAGGGCUGAGGAUAGGUCAAGUAGAGACUACUGCUUCUCAGAUAGAGCUGAGGAUAGGUCAAGUAGAGACUACUGCUGCUCAGAUAGGGCUGAGAUUAGGACAAGUAGAGACUGACUAGAGACAACUACUGCUCAGAUAGGGCUGAGAAUAGGUCAAGUAGAGAUGACUGCUGCUCAGAUAGGGCUGAGGAUAGGACAAGUAGAGACUGAGUAGAGACUACUACUGUUCAGAUAGAGCUGAGGAUAGGUCAAGUAGAGACUACUGCUGCUCAGAUAGGGCUGUGGAUAGGUCAAGUAGAGACUACUGCUGCUCAGAUAGGGCUGAGGAUAGGUCAAGUAGAGACUGACUAGGGACUACUGCUGCUCAGGUGAGGAAAGGUUAAGUAGAGACUACUGCUGCUCAGAUAGGGCUGAGGAUGGGUCAAGUAGAGACUGACAAGAGACUACUGCUGCUCAGAUAGGGCUGAGGAUAGGUCAAGUAGAGACUGACUGGAGACUACUGCUGCUCAGAUAGGGCUGAGAAUAGGUCAAGUAGAGACUACUGCUGCUCAGAUAGGGCUGAGGAUAGGUCAAGUAGAG